GGUUGGAUGGCCGAGUGGUCUAAGGCGUAGGUUUCAGGUACCUAUCUCUUCGGAGGCGAGGGUUCGAACCCCUCUCCAAUCA
rnacentral:tRNA from 1 species